rnacentral:tRNA from 1 species
GCCGGGAUGGCGAAAUAGGUAGACGCCGGGGACUUAAAAUCCCCUAUCCUUACAGAUGUGCGGGUUCGAGUCCCGCUCCCGGCACCA